GUCCCAUUCGUCUAGAGGCCUAGGACACCGCCCUUUCACGGCGGUAACAGGGGUUCGACUCCCCUAUAGGACGCCA
rnacentral:tRNA from 1 species